rnacentral:rRNA from 1 species
GCCGGGGAAGCGAAUGAGGCUGCGCGUGGCGCCGGUGUCGUCAGGCGUCCCGGCGGACACUCGGUGGCAGUUGUCGGACCCCUCCGGGGGGAAGCACUGCUGCGAGACUGUCCUGCUGGGACCGGCUGCAUUGAUGCCGGGGCUGGGCCAGCACCGGUUUCUAGCUGCGGGAGAAAUGUUUGGCUGGGUAGCUCGUCGUGGUGGUUCCUGCCUCGCCGAUGGCCCGCCGAAACUGCUGCCCGCCUGGAACCGAGGCGAGUUGGCAUCCCUUGCCCUUGCGGUGCGUGCCUGAAGGCUGGACGGCGUUGCGGCACUGCCGGGCCUCCCCUGGACUGCUUGCAUGCCGGGGAUGUGCCUUGCCGGUGGUGCCGAAACGUGCGGUCGCAAUGUGCACCGAGGGUGCUGGCCGGAGGCGUCUCAUCCGACCCGUCUUGAAAACGG